rnacentral:rRNA from 1 species
GACGAACGCUGGCGGCGUGCUUAACACAUGCAAGUCGAACGGAAAGGCCCUGCUUUUGUGGGGUGCUCGAGUGGCGAACGGGUGAGUAACACGUGAGUAACCUGCCCUUGACUUUGGGAUAACUUCAGGAAACUGGGGCUAAUACCGGAUAGGAGCUCCUGCUGCAUGGUGGGGGUUGGAAAGUUUCGGCGGUUGGGGAUGGACUCGCGGCUUAUCAGCUUGUUGGUGGGGUAGUGGCUUACCAAGGCUUUGACGGGUAGCCGGCCUGAGAGGGUGACCGGCCACAUUGGGACUGAGAUACGGACCAGACUCCUACGGGAGGCAGCGGUGGGGAAUAUUGCACAAUGAGCGGAAGCCUGAUGCAGCAACGCCGCGUGCGGGAUGACGGCCUUCGGGUUGUAAACCGCUUUCGCCUGUGACGAAGCGUGAGUGACGGUAAUGGGUAAAGAAGCACCGGCUAACUACGUG